rnacentral:lncRNA from 1 species
AUGCGCAGGAGGAGCCGCGUGGAAGGGGCACGGCGCAUGCGCGGCAGGCUCCGCUUCCCCGGGCGCGAAUCCGCGAUCCGGGGUUUGGGCCCCGCCGGGAGCUCUGUUUAUAAACACACCGCGCGGCCGCCGGCGAGGGGUAACCCUAAAGGUAGUGCGGUCGGAGGUCAGAGGUCAGCGGGGCGCCAACUGGGAGAUCCAUCCCUUCGUCUUCGCGGGCUGCUGGCUGCGCGGUGCGUGGCCGGUCUGGCCGCCCUACCGCAGUCCGGGGCUGCCGGGGGCGCCACGUGGUGCGCACGUGGUCCGGUCCCGGCGCUGCGGCCUCCCCUCCCCCACGGCGCCGGCGGCCCCGAAGCGCCUCCUGGCGGCGGCCGCGCGCUCCGCGCUGCACGUCGCGCCUGCGCACAACGCGUCAUGACGCGCCUUCCGGUCUGCUGGGUAGGGAGCCGGGCGUGGGUCGGUUGCGUCCUCGUGACCGCCCCGGGGUCCCGGCGAGGGUGGGGCGGCCCGCAAAGGUCACACGUGCGGGGCUGGCCGAGGCUCGGUGACUCCGCGGGAGGGGCCUCCAGCCGUCCACGUGGGUACCGCGGCCGGCGUGUGAUGCGCGUGCAAGGAGUCCGCGCUGCGGGCCCGGCUGCAGGGGCUGCGGGCCGCCGCCUCCCCCCACGUGGGGGUUUAAGUGCCCAGAGGGCGUCCCCGCUGGGCUUGUGUCCGUGCGCCCUAAGAUGCUCCGGCUCAACGAAUUCCUGAAUAUUUAACAGUCAGCUCUCAUGAGCCGGCUGCAACUCAACACUGGUCUUACACAAAGUGGAUCCGAGGUGGGUCAGCUAGACUUCCGGGAUGGUAGACAAAGUUCAGUUUCUUAAUCUGGGUUCCGCUUAGACAAACACACCGUAAGGUGACCCCCAGUGAAUCACAAGCUGCAUCGUCUCCCCUUGAGUGUGGAAGGGACUGUGGCACGCUUCUAACCAAAAGAAUUCAGCAAAGGGGAUGGGGUGGCAUUGCAUUGACUGGGUUACAUCAUGUGAAAAAGGUAAUGGAUGUCAUGCCCAUGAUCCCAAGACAAUUGGAAACAAGGACUCUCCUGUUGGCCUUGCAGGAGCAAACCACCGUGUUGUGAACGGCGCCUGAAGAGUUCACGAGGCAGGGGACCACAGGUGGCCUCUAGGACCUGAGAGCCAUCUCUAGCCAACAGCCAGGAAGAAUCAGGGGCCCUCAGUCUCACAGCCACAAGGACACGCGUCUGCUAACAACCUGAAUGAGCUUGAAAGAGCAUUCUUGCCCACUUAAGCCUCCAGAUUAGAACACAGCCAGACCGGCACCUGGAUUGUAGCUGCCUGAGACCCUGAGCAGAUGACCCGGGUCAGCCGUGCCCAGACUCCUGCCCCACGGAAACUGAGAUAAUACACGUGUGUUGUCUUAAGCUGCUAAAUCUGUGGUCAUUUGUUACGCAGCAAUAGAAAACUGAUGCACCAUUGUUCACAGGAUAUGUGCAUCUUUCUGUGUGUGUGUCACGUUUCUCAAUUUUUAAAGGUUGGGGGGAAGUGUUAACAUUACACAAUAAAAGUAGCAGGAAGGAACUGUGCA